rnacentral:rRNA from 1 species
CUUCCGUAGGGNGACCUGCGGAAGGAUCAUUAAAAAUUUAAUUGUUUACACGUUUACGUUUAACAUAUACAACUAACCAACUUAAUUAUGUCAACAACAACAACCAAAAAUCAAAACUUUCAACAACGGAUCUCUUGGUUCUCGCAUCGAUGAAGAACGCAGCGAAAUGCGAUAAGUAAUAUGAAUUGCAGAUUUUCGUGAAUCAUCGAAUCUUUGAACGCACAUUGCACCUUGUGGUAUUCCACAAGGUAUGCCUGUUUGAGCGUCAUUUCUCCCUCAACCCCCGCGGGUUGGCGUUGAAUGGCACGAGCUCCUAGUCAGUCCAUUCGAAAAGUAUUUUUCUUGUGUUGUUAUUUUCUAAUUUAGUAGUGACAACCACACUAAAAACACAUUUUCCUCAAAUCAGGUAGGACUACCCGCUGAACUUAAGCAUAUCAAUAAGCGGAGGA